ACGAACUAAAAAACAUAACUGGACUUAUGUUCUAAGGAACACCAUAAGUACAAAGUUAUUAACGUAAGAAGUCUGACUUAUGUUAUAAAGAACAUCAAAAUGUAACAUUUCUUUAGAGAAAGUGGUUACUUAAAAAUAUUUAUAACGUAAACAAUACUUCGGUAAGUGGUUUUAAUUUACUAAUGUUGUCGAUUGUGCACAGUUUGUUGGUUAGUUGUGUGUGAGUGCUUAAGUAUUUUAAUUAUUUAAGAUGAAUAUUCAAAGAGGCAAGAAAUUCGUUGAAAUGGUGUUAUCCACUCAUCUGGAAAGCAAUGAAGAAAAUGUAAAUCAGCAGUCGGUUUUGAACACAGAGAACCUAGUAGUAGACGAUCCUAUACCGUCAACAUCAUCAGGUCAAGUCAGUAGUUUAACAUACUAUUCUGCACUUGACUUCUCUAGUUAUGAUUCUGUACGAGAUCCAUGUUAUGAAUUACCGAGACUUCCAAUCACAUCGAGUUCAAGUACUUGUGAUGAAAUUUCAAUGAAUCCUAAUGUGUCUCCAAAAAAGAGUAUACGUACUAUAAAAAGAGAGAAAAAAAAAACGUAACUUAGGACAGGCAUACAAAACUUUAAAGGGAAAUGUAUAUCAGAUCGCACUAUGCAAAAAUUUUUUUAAGAAAAAACAAAAAAAAGGCCGCUGAGUUUGUUUCGCCAGUUCUUCUCAGGACUGUGGUUUUUUUUGGAACCGGUGGUAGAGUUAACAUUGUUAUUUAUAUUUUGACAUUCAACAAGUGUGUUAUACUGACAUCUAAGUUGAAAUAAAUGAUUUUGAAUUUGAAAGAGUUUGCAGAAUGAAAUGUAAAGAACGUAUACCUUAACUGAUAGGCAUGCCAUAUUUACAGAAUAUUGGCAAAUGGGGUCAUAUGCAAAAAGAUCUGUAUACUUGGCGUCUUUAAUGGAAAUUCAAGAUAAAUCUAAGCAAAGAAUACGAGCUAUUGAACCUGAAAAGCAAAAGCUUAGAAUGAAGACAUAAAAAUACUUUUUUACUGUGCAUGGUAAAGGUGAACCUGUCUGCCGAGGAUGUUUAAUGAAACCGUUAGAUGAAAGUGACAAUUUUAUAAAGACAGUUGCUAUGAAAAGGAGAUCAUCCAUUGGGGGUUCUCAAACUAAUGAUAUAAUAUCUAUACAGCCAUUACCCAUAUCCAUCGAGAAAAAAAAAGAUUUAAUUUCGCUGCUCCCUUUAAUACUAGAUAUUUUCCAUGAAUUUUAAAUAAGUCUUCCCACGUUGGAAACUUUACGAAAUACUGAUCCAGAUAUUUUAGAACUCGAUGAAGAAGAAGAAUUUUAAUUAAACAUUAAGUUGUUAUUUAUAUUUAUGACUUAUAUUAUUAUAAUAUAUAUCUUAAUUGUUGAUCUUUUUCACUUAACUCAUACUAUUAUUGCGUUCCUUAUAACUUAAGUCAUCUAAUUAUUAAAUAAUCACAUUUA